AUACUUACCUGGUAGAAGAGAUACCAUGAUCAUGAAGGUGGUUUCUCCAGGGCGAGGCUCACCCAUUGCACUCUGGUAUGCUGACCCCUGAGAUUUCCCCAAAUGUGAAAAACUCGACUGCAUAAUUUGUGGUAGUGGGGGGCAGUGUUCGCACUCUCCCUUG